rnacentral:rRNA from 1 species
AGGGAAUCUUCCACAAUGGACGCAAGUCUGAUGGAGCAACGCCGCGUGAGUGAAGAAGGUCUUCGGGAUCGUAAAGCUCUGUUGUUGGUGAAGAAGGAUAGAGGCAGUAACUGGUCUUUAUUUGACGGUAAUCAACCAGAAAGUCACGGCUAACUACGUGCCAGCAGCCGCGGUAAUACGUAGGUGGCAAGCGUUGUCCGGAUUUAUUGGGCGUAAAGCGAGCGCAGGCGGAAUGAUAAGUCUGAUGUGAAAGCCCACGGCUCAACCGUGGAACUGCAUCGGAAACUGUCAUUCUUGAGUGCAGAAGAGGAGAGUGGAACUCCAUGUGUAGCGGUGGAAUGCGUAGAUAUAUGGAAGAACACCAGUGGCGAAGGCGGCUCUCUGGUCUGCAACUGACGCUGAGGCUCGAAAGCAUGGGUAGCGAACAGGAUUAGAUACCCUGGUAG